rnacentral:tRNA from 1 species
GGCCCUAUAGCUUAACUUGGAUAGAGUCACCGGUUUCGGCCCGGUAGAUCUGGGUUCAAAUCCCAGUAGGGUCA